AGAGUUUGAUCCUGGCUCAGAUUGAACGCUGGCGGCGUGCCUAACACAUGCAAGUCGAGCGGUAACAGGUGUAGCAAUACAUGCUGACGAGCGGCGAACGGGUGAGUAAUGCUUCGGAAUCUACCCAGUAGUGGGGAAUAACCAAUCGAAAGGUUGGCUAAUACCGCAUACGUCCUACGGGAGAAAGCGGGGGAUCGUAAGACCUCGCGCUAGUGGAUGAGCCGAAGCCGGAUUAGCUAGUUGGUAGGGUAACGGCCUACCAAGGCGACGAUCCGUAGCUGGUCUGAGAGGACGACCAGCCACACUGGGACUGAGACACGGCCCAGACUCCUACGGGAGGCAGCAGUGGGGAAUAUUGGACAAUGGGGGAAACCCUGAUCCAGCGACGCCGCGUGUGUGAAGAAGGCCUGCGGGUUGUAAAGCACUUUUAGUGGGGAUGAAAAGUGCAGAGCUAACACCUCUGCAUCUUGACCUAACCCACAGAAAAAGCACCGGCUAACUCUGUGCCAGCAGCCGCGGUAAUACAGAGGGUGCGAGCGUUAAUCGGAAUUACUGGGCGUAAAGCGUGCGUAGACGGUAAUGUAAGUCGGGUGUGAAAGCCCCGGGCUCAACCUGGGAAUUGCAUUCGAGACUGCAUUGCUUGGGUGCGGAAGAGGGAAGCGGAAUUUCCGGUGUAGCGGUGAAAUGCGUAGAUAUCGGAAGGAACACCAGUGGCGAAAGCGGCUUCCUGGUCCGACACCGACGUUCAGGCACGAAAGCGUGGGGAGCAAACAGGAUUAGAUACCCCAGUAGUCC
rnacentral:rRNA from 1 species